rnacentral:rRNA from 4 species
AAAUUGAAGAGUUUGAUCAUGGCUCAGAUUGAACGCUGGCGGCAGGCCUAACACAUGCAAGUCGAACGGUAACAGGAAGCAGCUUGCUGCUUUGCUGACGAGUGGCGGACGGGUGAGUAAUGUCUGGGAAACUGCCUGAUGGAGGGGGAUAACUACUGGAAACGGUGGCUAAUACCGCAUAACGUCGCAAGACCAAAGAGGGGGACCUUCGGGCCUCUUGCCAUCAGAUGUGCCCAGAUGGGAUUAGCUAGUUGGUGAGGUAACGGCUCACCAAGGCGACGAUCCCUAGCUGGUCUGAGAGGAUGACCAGCCACACUGGAACUGAGACACGGUCCAGACUCCUACGGGAGGCAGCAGUGGGGAAUAUUGCACAAUGGGCGCAAGCCUGAUGCAGCCAUGCCGCGUGUAUGAAGAAGGCCUUCGGGUUGUAAAGUACUUUCAGCGGGGAGG